GCUAGUGUAGCUUAAUUUAGAGUAUGGCACUGAAGAUGCUAAGA
rnacentral:tRNA from 1 species